rnacentral:rRNA from 1 species
AAAUUGAAGAGUUUGAUCAUGGCUCAGAUUGAACGCUGGCGGCAGGCCUAACACAUGCAAGUCGAACGGUAACAGGAAGCAGCUUGCUGCUUCGCUGACGAGUGGCGGACGGGUGAGUAAUGUCUGGGAAACUGCCUGAUGGAGAGGGAUAACUACUGGAAACGGUGGCUAAUACCGCAUAACGUCGCAAGACCAAAGAGGGGGACCUUCGGGCCUCUUGCCAUCAGAUGUGCCCAGAUGGGA